rnacentral:rRNA from 1 species
CAAUGGGCGAAACUGAUGGAGCAACCCGCUGUGUGUAUGAAGGGUUUCGGUGUAAACCUGUGUAAGAGAAGAAUGACAUUGAGAGUAACUGUUCAAUGUGUGCGGUAUCUUACCAGAAAGGACGGCUAAAUCGUGCCAGCAGCCCGGUAAUACGUAUGUUCCAACGUUAUCCGGAUUUAUUGGGCGUAAAGCGAGCGCAGACGGUUAUUUAAGUCUGAAGUGAAAGCCCUCAACUGAGGAAUUGCUUUGGAAACUGGAUGACUUGAGUGCAGUAGAGGAAAGUGGAUACUCCAUGUGUAGCGGUGAAAUGCGUAGAUAUAUGGAAGAACACCAGUGGCGAAGGCGKCUUUYUGGMCUGUAWCUGACGUUGAGGCUCGAAAGUGUGGGUAGCAWACAGGAUUAGAUWCCYUGGUAGWCWCACSGUAAACGAUGAUUAUUAGGUGUUUGAGGGUUUCCGUCCUUAKGURRGCAAUUUUACKGCAUUWACCUUUUURUAC